UACGUAGGGGGCAAGCGUUGUCCGGAUUUAUUGGGCGUAAAGAGCGUGUAUGCGGUCAGGUAGGUCCGUUGUGAAAACUCGAGGCUCAACCUCGAGACGCCGAUGGAAACCAUCUGACUAGAGUCCGGAAGAGGAGAGUGGAAUUCCUGGUGUAGCGGUGAAAUGCGCAGAUAUCAGGAAGAACACCCGUGGCUAAGGCGGCUCUCUAGUACGGUACUGACGCUGAGACGCGAAAGCGUGGGGAGCGAACAGG
rnacentral:rRNA from 1 species